rnacentral:rRNA from 1 species
UUUGACAUGGUGCCCGUACCCCAAACCAACACAGGUGGACAGGUAGAGCAUACCAAGGCGAGUGGGGUAACUAUGGUUAAGGAACUCGGCAAAUUGCCUCCGUAACUUCGGGAGAAGGAGGACCCCAGUAGCGUGAUGAGACUUGCUCUCUGAGCGUGAAGGGGUGGCACAAAAUUGAGGGAAGCGACUGUUUACCAAAAACACAGCGGCGUGCUAAGCCGUAAGGCGCUGUAUACGCUGUGACUCCUGCCCGGUGCUGGAAGGUUACGGGGAUGGGUUAGUCCUUCGGGACGAAGCUCUGAACCUAAGCCCCAGUAAACGGCGGCCGUAACUAUAACGGUCCUAAGGUAGCGAAAUUCCUUGUCGGGUAAGUUCCGACCUGCACGAAUGGAGUAACGACUUCCCUACUGUCUCAACCAUAGACCCAGCGAAAUUGAAGUACGAGUAAAGAUGCUCGUUAGCUGCAGAAGGACGGAAAGACCCCGUGGACCUUUACUAUAACUUGAUGUUGUGUUUUGUCAUAUGUUGUGUAGGAUAGGUGGGAGACUUGGAAGCAUGGACGCUAGUCUGUGUGGAGUCAUCGUUGAAAUACCACCCUGCAUAUGGUGAGGCUCUAACCUAGACCCGUUAUCCGGGUUGGGGACAGCGUCAGGCGGGUAGUUUAACUGGGGCGGUUGCCUCUAAAGAGUAACGGAGGCGCCCAAAGGUUCCCUCAGCCUGGUUGGCAAUCAGGCGUUGAGUGCAAUGGCAAAAGGGAGCUUGACUGCGAGACCUACAAGUCGAGCAGGAGCGAAAGCUGGGCAUAGUGAUCCGGCGGUUGCGUGUGGAAGCGCCGUCGCCCAACGGAUAAAAGGUACCCCGGGGAUAACAGGCUAAUCUUGCCCAAGCGUCCAUAGCGACGGCAAGGUUUGGCACCUCGAUGUCGGCUCAUCGCAUCCUGGGGCUGAAGCAGGUCCCAAGGGUUGGGCUGUUCGCCCAUUAAAGCGGUACGCGAGCUGGGUUCAGAACGUCGUGAGACAGUUCGGUCCCUAUCCUCUGCAGCCGGAGGUGAAUUGAGGAAAGCUGUCCCUAGUACGAGAGGACCGGGACGGACGCAGCUCUCGUGUGCCAGUUGUCCUGCCAAGGGCAUGGCUGGUUAGCGACCUGCGGAAAGGAUAACCGCUGAAAGCAUCUAAGCGGGAAGCCUCUUCCAAGAUGAAUUCACCCACAGGGUUAACCUGGUAAGGCCCGUGGUAGACCACCACGUUGAUAGGCCGGAAGUGUAAGCGUGGCAACACGUUCAGCUGACCGGUACUAAUCGGCCGAGGGCUUGAGUUC